rnacentral:rRNA from 1 species
AGGCAGCAGUAGGGAAUUUUCGUCAAUGGGCGCAAGCCUGAACGAGCAAUGCCGCGUGAACGAGGAAGGUCUUCGGAUCGUAAAGUUCUGUUGAAGGGGAAAAAGAGCGGAGAGAGGAAAUGGUCUCCGAUUGAUAUUACCCUUCGAGGAAGUCACGGCUAACUACGUGCC